GGCUGGGAUAUUAGAGAACCCAACAGACUCGCACUGCUCAGAAUGUUCUUGCUGAUUGCUUUGUGUUUCAUGGUCAAUGCUUUCCACAACAGGCUUCCAGGAUCCAUCUGACAGGCUGGUUACAAUGAGGGCAACGCCAGGAAGGCCUUCUUGAGUUUAUUUCCAUGAAGUUGCCAUAGUCAAAGCACUACAAUAUGCACACAAGAGUCACAACUUUGAGGAAAGAAAAGAUGGAAUUAAAUAUGAGGAUAAAGAAGGCACUGUGUCUGUGGAUCCAAGCAUGAAUCUGCCAGAAGUAUUAUUUGUCAUUUGCCAGAGGCAAGCAUAAACAUUGUUUUUUAUGUUGUUUUUGAGCCAUUUGGGGCAGCCAGAAAUUUGAUGCUUAAAGCAAGGACAAGUGCACAACCAUGGAAAUCUAGACUCAGGCCCCAGAGAGACUUCAGAGUGGAGCUUCUAUUAUAUAUGUAUGUAUAUUUAUACCAUGUCACACAUGUUACAUGCAAAAAAAUCAUAUCGCAUAGAAUGAAGUCAAAAAAUAAGUAGGCGGUUUAACUUUUGAUUCACCUAAAUAUCUUGCUGUGGCUCAAUAUCAACUCAGACUAUUAAAUUCUCACCUGAUGGUGCUUGCAGA